rnacentral:rRNA from 1 species
UUAGAGUUUGAUCCUGGCUCAGGAUUAGCGCUGGCGGCAUGCCUAAUACAUGCAAGUCGAACGGAAAAUAUAGAAGUGCUUGCACAUUUAUAUUUUUAGUGGCGAACGGGUGAGUAAUAUAUAGAUAACCUACCUUCCAGUUGGGGAUAACAGAGGGAAACUUCUGCUAAUACCGAAUAUGAUAAAGAAACACAAGUAAUUUUAUUGAAAGGGGCUCCAAAGCCUCGCUAGAAGAGGGGUCUAUAUCGCAUUAGCUAGUUGGUAAGAUAACAGCCUACCAAGGCGAUGAUGCGUAGCUGUACUGAGAGGUAGAACAGCCACAUUGGGACUGAGAUACGGCCCAAACUCCUACGGGAGGCAGCAGUAGGGAAUUUUCGGCAAUGGGGGGAACCCUGACCGAGCAAUGCCGCGUGAUUGAAGACGGUCUUCGGACUGUAAAGAUCUGUUAUUAGGGAAGAAUUUUUACUUUAGGAAAUGGAAGUAAAUUGACGGUGCCUAAUGAGGAAGCCCCGGCUAACUAUGUGCCAGCAGCCGCGGUAAUACAUAGGGGGCAAGCGUUAUCCGGAAUUAUUGGGCGUAAAGGGUACGUAGGCGGGCUUGCAAGUCUGAUUUGAAAGCACAUGGCUUAACCAUGUGAGGUAAUUAGAAACUACGAGUCUAGAGAGUGGUAGAGGUAAAUGGAAUUCCAAGUGGAGCGGUGAAAUGCGUAGAGAUUUGGAGGAACACCAGUGGCGAAGGCGGUUUACUGGGCCACAUCUGACGCUGAUGUACGAAAGCGUGGGGAGCAAACAGGAUUAGAUACCCUGGUAGUCCACGCCGUA